rnacentral:rRNA from 1 species
AACGAACGCUGGCGGCAUGCCUAACACAUGCCAGUCGAACGAGACCUUCGGGUCUAGUGGCGCACGGGUGCGUAACGCGUGGGAACCUGCCCUUAGGUUCGGAAUAACUCCCCGAAAGGGGUGCUAAUACCGGAUAAUGUCUUCGGACCAAAGAUUUAUCGCCUUUGGAUGGGCCCGCGUUGGAUUAGCUAGUUGGUAGGGUAAAAGCCUACCAAGGCGACGAUCCAUAGCUGGUUUGAGAGAAUGAUCAGCCACACUGGGACUGAGACACGGCCCAGACUCCUACGGGAGGGAGCAGUGGGGAAUAGUGGACAAUGGGCGGAAGCCUGAUCCAGCAAUGCCGCGUGAGUGAUGAAGGCCUUAGGGUUGUAAAGCUCUUUUACCCGGGAUGAUAAUGACAGUACCGGGAGAAUAAGCCCCGGCUAACUACGUG